GAUGAACGCUGGCGGCGUGCUUAAUACAUGCAAGUCGAGCGAAGCACUUUAACGGAAUUCUCCGGAAGGAAGGUAAAGUGACUGAGCGGCGGACGGGUGAGUAACGCGUGGGUAACCUGCCUUAUACAGGGGGAUAACAGUUAGAAAUGGCUGCUAAUACCGCAUAAGCGCACAGGGCCGCAUGGCCCGGUGUGAAAAACUCCGGUGGUAUAAGAUGGACCCGCGUCUGAUUAGCUGGUUGGUGGGGUAACGGCCCACCAAGGCGAUUAUGGGUAGCCGGGUUGAGAGACCGACCGGCCAGAUUGGGACUGAGAUACGGCCCAG
rnacentral:rRNA from 1 species